GUGCUCACUUUGGCAGCACUUAUAAUAAAGUUGGAAUGAUACAAUGUGCAUGGCCCCCUGCACAAGGAUGACACACAGUCAUGAAGUGUUCUGUAUUUUU
rnacentral:snRNA from 1 species